rnacentral:tRNA from 1 species
GCCUGGGUGGCUCAGUGGUUGAGCGUCUGCCUUUGGCUCAGGGCGUGAUCCCGGUAUCCAGGAUCGAGUCCUGCAUCAGGCU